rnacentral:rRNA from 1 species
UCAAGCGCGAAAAGGGCGUUUGGUGAAUGCCUUGGCAGUAAGAGGCGAUGAAAGACGUGAUACUCUGCGAUAAGCCAUGGGGAGCUGAGAAUAAGCUUUGAUCCAUGGAUUUCUGAAUGGGGCAACCCACCUGAUUGUUUGUUAUUAUUGCUUCGCAAUAUGUACGCUCCGCGCCGACCCUUGGUCGGUACACCGAUCCUUUGGAUCGGCACUGGGGUGGACAGCGGCGCAGUUAAUAAUGAGCAAAACCAGGUAUUUAUAGACUGAAUACAUAGGUUUAUAAAAGCAAACCCGGGGAACUGAAACAUCUAAGUACCCGGAGGAAAGGAAAUCAAUAUGAUACUCCCCUAGUAGCGGCGAGCGAACGGGGAUCAGCCGAGCCAUGAUUGUGGUUAGAAUGNNUUGGAAUNNNNNACCANAGUGGGUGAUAGUCCCGUAUNNGAAGCAUNANUGANACGUAUUAAGUAGGGCGGGACACGUGNAAUCCUGUCUGAAGAUCGGAGGACCACCUNCGAAGGCUAAGUACUCCUUACUGACCGAUAGCGAACCAGUACCGUGAGGGAAAGGUGAAAAGCACCCCGACGAGGGGAGUGAAACAGUACCUGAAACCGAACGCCUACAAUCAGUUGGAGGGGCAUAAGCCCUGACAGCGUACCUUUUGUAUAAUGGGUCAUCGACUUGGUCUAUCUAGCAAGCUUAAGCCGUUAGGUGUAUGCGCAGCGAAAGCGAGUCUUAAUAGGGCGUUGAGUUAGAUGGAUCAGACCCGAAACCGAGUGAUCUAGGCAUGACCAGGAUGAAGGUAAGGUAACACUUACUGGAGGUCCGAACCCACACCUGUUGAAAAAGGUCGGGAUGAGUUGUGCCUAGGGGUGAAAGGCCAAUCAAACUCGGAGAUAGCUGGUUCUCCGCGAAAUCUAUUUAGGUAGAGCGUCAUCCGAAUACCCCGGGGGGUAGAGCACUGGAUGGGUAAUGGGGCCCCACAGGCUUACUGAUCCUAACCAAACUCCGAAUACCCGGGAGUACUAGAUGGCAGACACACUGCGGGUGCUAACGCCCGUAGUGGAGAGGGAAACAACCCUGACCUCCAGCUAAGGCCCCUAAUUCAUGGCUAAGUGGGAAAGCAGGUGAGACGGCCAAAACAACCAGGAGGUUGGCUUAGAAGCAGCCAUCCUUUAAAGAUAGCGUAACAGCUCACUGGUCUAAAUAAGCUGUCUUGCGGCGAAGAUGUAACGGGGCUCAAGCCAUGAGCCGAAGCUGAGGACAUCGCAAGAUGUGGUAGCGGAGCGUAGUGUGACAUAGAUUCUAUCCUCUUUAGUCGUCUUUGACGGCCUUGGAGGAUUGAGAAUCUUUCUGUGAAGCCGGGCUGUAAGGCAUCCGGUGGAGAGAUCACUAGUGAGAAUGAUGACAUGAGUAGCGACAAAGAGUGUGAGAGACACUCUCGCCGAAAAUCCAAGGGUUCCUGCUUAAAGCUAAUCUGAGCAGGGUAAGCCGGCCCCUAAGUCGAGGCAGAAAUGCGUAGACGAUGGGAACCAGGUUAAUAUUCCUGGGCCAGGAGGAUGUGACGGAUCGUGAAGGUAGUUCACUCUUAUUGGAUUGAGUGGGCUGCUAAUCGGUUCCUGGAAAUAGCCCUCCAUCAGACCGUACCCUAAACCGACACAGGUGGAUAGGUAGAGCAUACCAAGGCGCUUGAGAGAACUAUGUUGAAGGAACUCGGCAAAAUACCUCCGUAAGUUCGCGAGAAGGAGGCCCAGUUUCUACGCAAGUAUUGGCUGGGGGCACAAACCAGGGGGUGGCGACUGUUUACUAAAAACACAGGGCUCUGCGAAGUCGCAAGACGACGUAUAGGGUCUGACGCCUGCCCGGUGCCUGAAGGUUAAAAGGAGNNGUGAGAGCNNCGAAUUGAAGCCCAGGUAAACGGCGGCCGUAACUAUAACGGUCCUAAGGUAGCGAAAUUCCUUGUCGGGUAAGUUCCGACCUGCACGAAUGGCGUAACGACUUCCCCACUGUC